CAGCCGCCGCGGUAAAACGUAGGGGGCGAGCGUUGUCCGGAAUUACUGGGCGUAAAGGGCGUGUAGGCGGUCAUUUAAGUCAGAGGUGAAAACUACCGGCUUAACCGGUAGCCUGCCUUUGAAACUGGGUGACUUGAGGACAGGAGAGGGGAGUGGAAUUCCCAGUGUAGCGGUGAAAUGCGUAGAUAUUGGGAGGAACACCAGUGGCGAAGGCGGCUCUCUGGCCUGUUUCUGACGCUGAGGCGCGAAAGCGUGGGUAGCGAACGGGAUUAGAUACCCCGGUAGUCCACGCCGUAAACGAUGGGUGCUAGGUGUAGGAGGUAUCGACCCCUUCUGUGCCGUAGUUAACACAAUAAGCACCCCGCCUGGGGAGUACGGCCGCAAGGUUGAAACUCAAAGGAAUUGACGGGGGCCCGCACAAGCGGUGGAGCAUGUGGUUUAAUUCGACGCAACGCGAAGAACCUUACCAGGGUUUGACAUCCUCUGACAGCCAUUGAAAGGUGGUUUUCUGACUUCGGUCAGACAGAGAGACAGGAGGUGCAUGGCC
rnacentral:rRNA from 1 species